rnacentral:rRNA from 1 species
AACGGAGGGCGCGAGCGUUAUCCGGAUUCACUGGGCGUAAAGCGCGUGGAGGCGGCGCCGUAAGUUGGGCGUGAAAGCCCCGGGCUUAACCCGGGGAGGCCGUCCAAUACUGCGGGGCAUGAGGGCAGCAGAGGGAGGUGGAAUCCCCGGUGAAGUGGUGAAAUGCGUAAAUAUCGGGAGGAACACCCGGGGCAAAGGCGGACUCCUGGGCUGUUCCUGCGGCGGGAGGAGAAAGCGAGGGGAGCAAACGGG